rnacentral:tRNA from 1 species
UUGCCUGUAGCUAAGUGGUAAAGCUCCCAACGCAUAGUUGGAUUAACGCUGGUUCGAUUCCAGCCAGGCGAACCA